rnacentral:rRNA from 1 species
AUUGAACGCUGGCGGAAUGCUUUACACAUGCAAGUCGAACGGCAGCACGGGGGCAACCCUGGUGGCGAGUGGCGAACGGGUGAGUAAUAUAUCGGAACGUGCCCAGUCGUGGGGGAUAACGUAGCGAAAGUUACGCUAAUACCGCAUACGAUCUACGGAUGAAAGCGGGGGAUCGCAGGACCUCGCGCGAUUGGAGCGGCCGAUAGCAGAUUAGGUAGUUGGUGGGGUAAAGGCUCACCAAGCCAACGAUCUGUAGCUGGUCUGAGAGGACGACCAGCCACACUGGGACUGAGACCCGGCCCAGACUCCUACGGGAGGCAGCAGUGGGGAAUUUUGGACAAUGGGCGCAAGCCUGAUCCAGCCAUUCCGCGUGCAGGACGAAGGCCUUCGGGUUGUAAACUGCUUUUGUACGGAACGAAAAAGCCUUGGCUAAUACCCAGGGUCCAUGACGGUACCGUAAGAAUAAGCACCGGCUAACUACGUGCCAGCCGCCGCAGUAA